rnacentral:rRNA from 1 species
ACAGGUUAAGCUGACGAGUGGCGAACGGGUGAGUAAUAUAUCGGAACGUGCCCAGUCGUGGGGGAUAACGCAGCGAAAGCUGUGCUAAUACCGCAUACGAUCUCUGGAUGAAAGCGGGGGACCUUCGGGCCUCGCGCGAUUGGAGCAGCCGAUAUCAGAUUAGCUAGUUGGCGGGGUAAAGGCCCACCAAGGCGACGAUCUGUAGCUGGUCUGAGAGGACGACCAGCCACACUGGAACUGAGACACGGUCCAGACUCCUACGGGAGGCAGCAGUGGGGAAUUUUGGACAAUGGGCGCAAGCCUGAUCCAGCAAUGCCGCGUGCAGGAUGAAGGCCUUCGGGUUGUAAACUGCUUUUGUACGGAACGAAAAGGUCUGCCCUAAUACGGUGGGCCCAUGACGGUACCGUAAGAAUAAGCACCGGCUAACUACGUGCCAGCAGCCGCGGUAAUACGUAGGGUGCGAGCGUUAAUCGGAAUUACUGGGCGUAAAGCGUGCGCAGGCGGUUAUAUAAGACAGAUGUGAAAUCCCCGGGCUCAACCUGGGACCUGCAUUUGUGACUGUAUAGCUAGAGUACGGUAGAGGGGGAUGGAAUUCCGCGUGUAGCA